AUGGACGCGGUGGAGUCGUCGUCGUCCCCGUACUCGCCGCCCUCGUUGCGCCACAAGCUUAGGACCACUGUGUGCGGCUGCUUUGGCUCACCGUCGUUGCCGGGCAGCGGCGCGGAGAGGCCACACACCGGCAGCGUCAGGGCCGGCCAGGUGGAGGCGACGCGUGGCGGCCACGGGGGAGUUCAGUUUCAGGAGAUCAAAACCGAGCUGAAUGACACCCCAAAAACCGAGGUGUUCGCAUGCCCUGUUUGCUAUGAACCGCUGAUAAGGAAAGGGCCGCCAGGCAUGAACCUGCCGGCGAUUUAUAGGUCCGGAUUCAAGUGUUCAAAAUGCAACAAGUCAUUCACCAGCAAAGAUGUCUUCUUGGAUCUCACUGUUACCUCAGGAAUGAAAGAAUACAGUGAACUCAAGCCCGCUAGAACCGAACUGUUCAGGAGCCCGCUCGUCUCCUUUCUUUACGAGAGGGGGUGGCGUCAGAACUUCAAUCGCAGUGGCUUCCCUGGCCGCGAUGAAGAGUUCCAAAUGGCUCAAGAUUAUUUCAAACCAGUCGCUGGUGGUAUACUCGUUGAUGUCAGCUGUGGCAGUGGAUUGUUUUCAAGGAAGUUUGCAAGCUCUGGGGCAUACUCAGCUGUGAUUGCUUUGGACUUUUCUGAGAAUAUGCUCCGCCAAUGCUAUGACUACAUCAGACAAGAAGAAACCCCUAUGAACACGAACCUCGCACUUGUAAGGGCUGAUAUUUCGAGGCUCCCUUUUGCUUCAUGUUCAAUUGAUGCCAUUCAUGCUGGAGCGGCUAUCCACUGUUGGCCAUCCCCUUCAAAUGCGAUAGCUGAAAUCAGCCGUGUGCUGAAGCCCGGUGGUGUAUUUGUAGCAACAACCUUCUUAUCCACCCCCACAAACAGCGGCCCGUUCUCUAUUGACGCACUAAGGCCACUGAGACAGAUUGUUGGGCCGGUGAACAGCAGCUACAACUUCUUCACCGAAGGAGAGUUGAAAGACCUGUGCAUAUCCUGUGGUCUGGUCAACUACAGCAGCAAGGUGCAGAGGUCAUUCAUCAUGUUCUCCGGGCAAAAGCCGUAG
rnacentral:rRNA from 1 species